rnacentral:rRNA from 1 species
CACGUAGGAGGCGAGCGUUGUCCGGAAUCAUUGGGCGUAAAGAGCGCGCAGGCGGUCGAUCAAGUCGCGUGUGAAAGCCCCCGGCUCAACUGGGGAGGGUCACGCGAUACUGAUCGACUCGAAGGCAGGAGAGGGUAGUGGAAUUCCCGGUGUAGUGGUGAAAUGCGUAGAUAUCAGGAAGAACACCUAUGGCGAAAGCAGCUCUCUGGGACGGUACUGACGCUGAGACGCGAAAGCGUGGGGAGCGAACAGG